rnacentral:rRNA from 1 species
CAAUAGCGUAUAUUAAAGUUGUUGCGGUUAAAAAGCUCGUAGUUGGAUUUCUGCUUUGUGCGACCGGUCCGCCUCUGGGUUGGUACCUGGUUCGCUCAGGGCAUUUUCCUGGGAGACAUGGCUGCAUCUCGUUAUGUGGCCUGUUGCCUGGGUCUUUUACUUUGAGGAAAUUAGAGUGUUUCACGCAGGCGCUUGCCUUGAAUACAUUAGCAUGGAAUAAUACGAUAGGACUUUGGUUCUGUCUUGUUGGUUUCUGGAGCCAAGGUAAUGAUUAAUAGGGAUAGUCGGGGGCAUUCGUACUUAACUGUCAGAGGUGAAAUUCUUGGAUUUGUUAAAGACGAACUAACGCGAAAGCAUUUGCCAAGGAUGUUUUCAUUGA